GACGACCGCUGGCGGCGUGCUUAACACAUGCAAGUCGAACGGAAAGGCCCUGCUUUUGUGGGGUGCUCGAGUGGCGAACGGGUGAGUAACACGUGAGUAACCUGCCCUUGACUUUGGGAUAACUUCAGGAAACUGGGGCUAAUACCGGAUAGGAGCUCCUGCUGCAUGGUGGGGGUUGGAAAGUUUCGGCGGUUGGGGAUGGACUCGCGGCUUAUCAGCUUGUUGGUGGGGUAGUGGCUUACCAAGGCUUUGACGGGUAGCCGGCCUGAGAGGGUGACCGGCCACAUUGGUACUGAGAUACGGCCCAGACUCCUACGGUAGGCAGCAGUGGGGAAUAUUGCACAAUGGGCGGAAGCCUGAUGCAGCAACGCCGCGUGCGGGAUGACGGCCUUCGGGUUGUAAACCGCUUUCGCCUGUGACGAAGCGUUAGUGACGGUAAUGGGUAAAGAAGCACCGGCUAACUACGUG
rnacentral:rRNA from 1 species